rnacentral:rRNA from 1 species
GUGCCAGCAGCCGCGGUAAUACGUAGGCAGCGAGCGUUGUUCGGAGUUACUGGGCGUAAAGGGUGUGUAGGCGGUUCUCUAAGUCUGGUGUGAAAUCUCCCGGCUCAACUGGGAGGGUGCGCCGGAAACUGGAGAGCUAGAGUGCGGGAUGGGAGAGUGGAAUUCCUGGUGUAGCGGUGAAAUGCGUAGAUAUCAGGAGGAACACCUGUGGUGUAGACGGCUCUCUGGACCGUAACUGACGCUGAGACACGAAAGCGUGGGUAGCAAACAGGAUUAGAAACCCUGGUAGUCC